ensembl:lncRNA
AGAUGCGCUCAGCUACCAGCAGGGCUCUGUGACUGGCCGAGAGGCGGCAGUGGAGGAAGAAGAUGACAGCUGCUUGGCUGAAACUCAGGAGGAGCCCGCAGGGCUCCUCUGCUGAGCUUGCAGCUCUGGGACGGUCACUGCCCAGCCAGCCCCAUCUGACAGAGCCGCCUCCAAGAUGGACUGGGUGCUGUGUCACAGUGAGAAGUUCUUCAAAUCCGAUUUAUUUCUCUUAGAGUUCAGUGCCAGGAAGUUCUGGUGCUUCAUUUGUCAUGUAUGUAACCCACCUCCAGUUCUUACUGGGAUCCUUGUCCUCUCCACCGACCCCUGCCCCCAUCCUCGCCCUGCCUCUUCCCUCCACGCGCUUUCUGAUUCUUCUGACAGAUGAUGUCUGUUUUAAGCGACCUCAAACCCUUGUGGCCAAAAGGCAACAUCUAAACUGUAAGUAACCACAGGGUCAUAAGCCCUAGUGACCUUCUAGAUAGGAGUUCUUCACCUUCUUGGGUCGCGACCCUUUUGGGAUUCUGGUGAACGCUACAGACCCCUUGUCAGAAUAAUGCUUAUAAAUGUGUAAGUAGGGAACAUACUAAACUGUGUAUCAGGGUGACUGGUUAUCAUCUUAGUUUGACUUCAGAAACAUGCUGGAAGGCUCACCAGUUAAAGCUUCAUUGGUCCUGGGGCCAGCCCAGAGGCGCAGCAGUUAAGUGCGCACGUUCUGCUUCAGCGGCCCAGGGUUCGCCGGUUCAGAUCCCGGGUGCAGACAUGGCACUGCUUGGCAAGCCAUGCUGUGGUAGGCGUCCCACAUAUAAAGUAGAGGAAGAUGGGCAUGGAUGUUAGCUCAGGGCCAGUCUUCCUCAGCAAAAAAAAAGAGGAGGAUUGGCAGCAGAUGUUAGCUCAGGGCUAAUCUUCCUCAAAAAAAAAAAAAGAAAAAAAAGCUUCAUUGGUCCUACCAGCAUGGAAUAUCAACCCCUGAGACUAACACAGCCUCUGCUCAUCUGACCCUCACCAUAGGCCCACAUGAUAUUCAGGGAAGGUAUGUCCCCAUUUAUAAAGGAGGAAAUUGAGGUCAGUCCCACCUGGAGUGAGAGUUGGCCAGUGAGACCCCAGCUCGAGGAUCUCUUCCCUAGUUUGCUCUUUCCUCUGCAUUGCACCUUCUGCUGGAAAAAGCACAGCUGUGUUUUCUUAUCCCAGAACUCUGCAGUGUGAUUAGGGAGUCAUCUGAGUUUCUGACUUGGAGGCACACAUCUCUGCUGAAAUAAAAUGAAGUACCUCUAUGUGCAGACUAAGAAAUUACUAAAUGCCCCCCUUCCUCUUCUUUGUAGCUUUUUCUCUCGUCUUCAUCAUAGGAGCAAUCUCUGGUACAUGCACGUUAACCAAAACUCCAGGUGCAGUUCAAGGAAUCUUCCUAUUUUAAAAAAUGAGGGAAGAUGACAACUGACACAAAUUUCUUGGCUCCUGGCACAAAAAUUCAGUACUUUAAAGACUCCUUUCUGUGAAGGUGACACAAGGGGUGGCCUAGGCACUGCCUCAUGGCUUGUUUCCCUGCCAGUUCAGCUAGCCCUACAACAAGGGGAUAUUCGUAUGAGCUGACAUGUGCUGAUUGGCAAACUCAUGUCCUGGCCCAUGACCAUAAAACAAUAUUAACAAAUCUACACUGAACGAAACACACGGUCAACAGAGAGUUUUGUGGGUCUUCCCUGUGUGAGCAUCUGCACGUGGGUGGAGGAGCUGGGCAGAGGCUCCAGGAGGGCCAGGCCAGGCCGGGGCUGCUUGGCUCUCCUGCCUACCCAGCACCGUCUCAGAGGACAUGAGGACUGCAGGCUUGAUCUGAGGGAGGAGACAUCCCCUACUGGACGGACCUGAAGUUUAAAAGGGGAAGAAGGCACGGAAGUGAGGAAGAGGGCAGUCUCGCUUCUCUGUCAUGACACCCCAGAGCCACAGGAAGCUCAGGCCACCUCAGGCUAUGCCCCUGACAAAGGGGGCCUCCAAGGCCACUGCCAAGCUCUGUGCUGAGAAUGCACACAAGAACCAAGCCGUUGUUUCUUCAAGAGAGAUCACUGAAGGCAGCCAGAAGUGAAGACUGGAAAGGCUGAGGGAAGGCUGAUUCUUGGUGGAAUGGUGGUUGUCUUCCUGGUAACCAGAGCUGGAUCUGGGAGAGCUGCGGCACGCUGUUCAAUGUGUUAGUUUGCGCCUGCUGCAUGACAAACCACCUCGGAAGUCCAUGGCAUACAAGCAGCAGCAUACGUUAUCACGCUCACAGUCGUACAGACCAGCUGGGGCACCUGUGCAUCAGGCUGCGGAAGGCUGGGGUGUGCUCUGCUCUACUUUCCUUUAUUCUUCUGGGACCUGUGAGCUAACUUGGGCAUGUUCUUCUCAUGGGAGUGGCAGAAAUGAAAGAGGGGUGAGCAGAAACUCAGUGAGCAGCUCAGAACUGGUACCCCGUCACCUCCACCCACAUUCCAUCGGCCAAAGCAAUUCCAUGGCCAAGCCCAAUAACAGUAGACUGUGGACAUAUUCUCCACCUUGCAUGGAAGGAACUGCUGAGUCACUUGGCAACGUGUAUGGAUUCAGGGAGGAGUCGAUGGGGACAAUGAUAGAACUGCUACUCCAGUUUGGGCACUUUCUAUUGAAUCCUGGUAGCCAUGGAAGACUGCAUCUCUUGAGUUGCUACUGAUAGGAAGGAAAGACUGGCUGAUGUCUCUUAAUGAUAGUAUGGAAAUCCUUUUGAAAGUUUAGUUUAGAAACUAAGUUUCAUAAUGACCAGGACAAUGUACGUCUAGUUCACCUCCUGUGUUCAGUAAACACUUCUUGAUCCAAUGAUUAAAUGGUGAAAGAAUAUUAUAUGUGUAGCUACGUAUCUGUAAAUAGAUAUAGGGUAAAAAAGUGGAAUUUAUCUACCCAUAUAGAAUGUGAGUAAAGAGUUUAAUAACAAAAAU